rnacentral:rRNA from 1 species
GAUGAACGCUGGCGGCGUGCCUAACACAUGCAAGUCGAACGAAGCGCCUGGCCCCGACUUCUUCGGAACGAGGAGCCUUGCGACUGAGCGGCGGACGGGUGAGUAACGCGUGGGUAACCUGCCUCAUACAGGGGGAUAACAGUUAGAAAUGGCUGCUAAUACCGCAUAAGACCACGGUACCGCAUGGUACAGAGGUAAAAACUCCGGUGGUAUGAGAUGGACCCGCGUCUGAUUAGGUAGUUGGUGGGGUAACGGCCCACCAAGCCGACGAUCAGUAGCCGACCUGAGAGGUGACCGGCCACAUUGGGACUGAGACACGGGCCCAAACUCCUACGGGAGGCAGCAGUGGGGAAUAUUGCACAAUGGGGGAAACCCUGAUGCAGCGACGCCGCGUGAAGGAUGAAAGUAUUUCGGG